CAAGGUCGUGCUCCUUUUCAUACCUGCAGACCUGUGGCGCCUUCUGAGGGAGCAGGGCUUACGCCACGCAAGCGCCGCGGGUGCGUGACGUCAUCUGAGAGCGCCACACGCCGUCCCGAAACCCUGAGCACCGUCUGGCUACAGGCGUUGCUGUAGAGACGGUGCGCCGAGUCCCGCCCCCGAGGCGGGAUAGGAGGAGAACCGGUCAGCUGACAAGGAUGACGUUUCGAAAGCGCGCGGGAGGUCCCGCUGAAACGCAGAGCCCAGGAAGCAAUUUGAGGGGCGUCUUGACCGAAGAAUCCAGUCUCCACUGACACCAUCUUAGAGCAAGCCCCCAUCUGUCACCUGGAUUACCGUAAUUGCCUAACUGGUCCCCCUUCUUCCACCCCUACCCCGUUAAGUCUAUGUUUACAUAACAACCUCGGUAAUUCUGUUAAAAGUUAUAUCAUGUGGCACCUCUGUGCAAAAACUAUCAGGCCUCGUGUCUCAGAGUAAAAGCCAAAGCUUUACCAGGGCUAGAACUGUUCCACACCACCAGGCCUCCAUUCUAGAGCUCUCCAUUCUUGUCUCCCUUGCUCACUUAACAGCAGCCACAUUAGCCGUUUUGCCAAGCUUGCUUCUACCUCUGGAACUCUAAACUUGCCUUUACGUCUGCAUGGAACGUGUCCUCAUUUAUCCCCAGGGCUCCCUCCCUUACCUCCCCCAAGACUUGGUUCAGAUGUUCCCCACUGACAAAGGCCUUCAUCAACCUCCUGGUUUGAAAUUGCAAAUCAGACUCCGGCAAGCCUGCAUUCCCACAUUCCCAUUCCCUUCCCUUUUGGUCCAUUGCAUUUAGUUUAUCACCUUCUAAUAACCCGUUUAAUUGA